rnacentral:rRNA from 1 species
CCUUGUGAACGAGUGAAACGUGGUCAAGGAACUCGGCAUAAUGAUCCCGUAACUUCGGAAGAAGGGAUGCCACGUCAGGUUGCCAGACUUGCUCUGGUUGCUCGACGGGGCCGCAGAGAAUCGACUCAAGCGACUGUUUAGCAAAACACAGGUGCGUGCCAAGCCGCAUAAGGCGCCGUAUACGCACUGACUCCUGCCCGGUGCCGGAAGGUUAAGGGGAGAGGUUAGCCGCAAGGCGAAGCUUUGAUCCGAAGCCCCGGUAAACGGCGGCCGUAACAAUAACGGUCCUAAGGUAGCGAAAUUCCUUGUCGGGUAAGUUCCGACCUGCACGAAUGGAGUAACGACUUGAGUACUGUCUCGACCACGUGCUCGGCGAAAUAGCAGUCUCGGUGAGGAUUCCGAGUCCCCGCGACAGGACAAAAAGACCCCAUGCACCUUUACUGCAGCUUGUUAUUGACGAUUGCAUAAGACUGUGUAGCAUAGGUGGGAGCCGUUGAGACGGGGGCGCUAGCUCUCGUGGAGGCAUCAGUGAAAUACCACCCUGUGUUCUGUGAUCGUCUCACCGCGAUAGGCAAACCCUAUCCGGGACCGUGACAGGUGGGCAGUUUGACUGGGGCGGUCGCCUCCGAAAGAGUAACGGAGGCGCGCGAAGGUUGGCUCAGCGCGGUCGGUAAUCGCGCCUAUAGAGUGUAACGGCAGAAGCCAGCCUGACGGUGAGACCGACGGGUCGAGCCGAGACGAAAGUCGGCCGUAGUGAUCCGGUAGACCGGUGUGGAUCGGCUAUCGCGCAACGGAUAAAAGGUACGCUGGGGAUAACAGGCUUAUCGCGCCCGAGAGUUCACAUCGACGGCGCGGUUUGGCACCUCGAUGUCGGCUUGUCACAUCCUGGGGCUGGAGAAGGUCCCAAGGGUUCGGCUGUUCGCCGAUUAAAGUGGCACAUGAGCUGGGUUCAGAACGUCGUGAGACAGUUCGGUCUGUAUCCGUCGUGGGCGUUGGAGGGUUGAGGGGUGCGAACUCUAGUACGAGAGGACCGAGUUGGACGAUCCGCUCGUGUCCCGGCUGUGGCGCCAGCUGCAACGCCGGGUAGCGAUGAUCGGUGGCGAUAACCGCUGAAAGCAUCUAAGUGGGAAGCGUCCCCCAAGAUGAACCCUCCCUGGGAACUUGAUUCCCCUAAAGGGCCGGAGGAGACUACUCCGUCGAUAGGCGACAGGUGGAAGUAGCGCAAGCUAUUACGAGCUCAGUCGUCCUAAUCGCCCGUGCGGCUUGACUCC